rnacentral:lncRNA from 1 species
CAGCACAGAUACCAUUAAUAUUGCCUCCAAUAAUAAUGCCAUGCAAUCAAAGACCGACCCUGUACUGUAUGUGAUGUGGCUGCUUUGGAAGACCUCAAGAAUGACACGAGGCUAGUAAAUAUCACCGUGCCUGGCAGAACCACUUCUGCAAAGAGGAUGGCAUCUGCUUUUCCUGAGCAUUCUCUGCAGAGCUGGAGAGGUAUAAGGAAGAUGCUCAUCUUUUCCAGGAUGCAAGACCACUUUCUGCUCUAGACUGAAGAUCUGAACUAGAAUUUAAACUAAACUGAAUUCACCAAUAUCCUUAAGUGAGGUCCCAACUAUUUUCUUAUGUUCAUUGCUGUAUGUCAU